GACAGUGGUUGUCAUCUUAGUUGCUGAGGGAUCCGCCACUAAGUGUAUUUUGUUACAGUGGUCUUCCACAUCUCCUUUUACAACCUUCACCUCUUUCAGUUGCUUACUUCGUAGUGGAUACCGACAAUUUGAUGCAUCCAAACUGGCAGCAGUUCUCUUUUUAGAGUGCACCUUCGAUGUUGAGGGAUCCAGUGCUUCAUUGCAAUGCCCUUCUUCCACAUCUCCUUUUUCAAUCUUUACAUCUUUCCGUUGCUUACUUCGUAGUGGAUAUCGAC
rnacentral:misc_RNA from 1 species